rnacentral:rRNA from 1 species
GACUCCUACGGGAGGCAGCAGUGGGGAAUAUUGCACAAUGGGCGCAAGCCUGAUGCAGCAAUGCCGCGUGUGUGAAGAAGGCCUGCGGGUUGUAAAGCACUUUUAUUAGGAAAGAAAAACCCGGAAUUAAUACUUCCGGCAUUGACGGUACCUAAAGAAUAAGCACCGGCUAACUCAGUGCCAGCAGCCGCGGUAAUACUGAGGGUGCAAGCGUUAAUCGGAAUUACUGGGCGUAAAGCGAGUGUAGGCGGUUACCUCAGUCGGAUGUGAAAUCCCCGGGCUCAACCUGGGAAUUGCAUUCGAUACUGGGUAGCUAGAGUUUGGUAGAGGUAAGUGGAAUUCCGGGUGUAGCGGUGAAAUGCGUAGAUAUCCGGAGGAACAUCAGUGGCGAAGGCGGCUUACUGGACCAAAACUGACGCUGAGGCUCGAAAGCGUGGGGAGCAAACAGGAUUAAAUACCCUGGUAGUCCACGCCCUAAACGAUGUCAACUAGACGUUGGGCUCAUUAAUGAGCUUAGUGUCGCAGCUAACGCGUUAAGUUGACCGCCUGGGGAGUACGGCCGCAAGGUUGAAACUCAAAGGAAUUGACGGGGGCCCGCACAAGAGAU